rnacentral:rRNA from 1 species
GAUGAACGCUGGCGGCGUGCCUAAUACAUGCAAGUCGAGCGAACAGAUGAGGAGCUUGCUCCUCUGACGUUAGCGGCGGACGGGGGAGUAAAACGUGGAGAACCUACCUAUAAGACUGGGAUAACUUCGGGAAACCGGAGCUAAUACCGGAUAAUAUAUUGAACCGCAUGGUUCAAUAGUGAAAGACGGUUUUGCUGUCACUUAUAGAUGGAUCCGCGCCGCAUUAGCUAGUUGGUAAGGUAACGGCUUACCAAGGCAACGAUGCGUAGCCGACCUGAGAGGGUGAUCAGCCACACUGGAACUGAGACACGGUCCAGACUCCUACGGGAGGCAGCAGUAGGGAAUCUUCCGCAAAGGGCGAAAGCCUGACGGAGCAACGCCGCGUGAGUGAUGAAGGUCUUCGGAUCGUAAAACUCUGUUAUUAGGGAAGAACAAAUGUGUAAGUAACUAUGCACGUCUUGACGGUACCUAAUCAGAAAGCCACGGCUAACUACGUG